rnacentral:rRNA from 1 species
AUGAACGCUGGCGGCGUGCCUAAUACAUGCAAGUCGAGCGAACAGACGAGGAGCUUGCUCCUCUGACGUUAGCGGCGGACGGGUGAGUAACACGUGGAUAACCUACCUAUAAGACUGGGAUAACUUCGGGAAACCGGAGCUAAUACCGGAUAACAUGUUGAACCGCAUGGUUCAACAGUGAAAGACGGUUUUGCUGUCACUUAUAGAUGGAUCCGCGUCGCAUUAGCUAGUUGGUAAGGUAACGGCUUACCAAGGCAACGAUGCGUAGCCGACCUGAGAGGGUGAUCGGCCACACUGGAACUGAGACACGGUCCAGACUCCUACGGGAGGCAGCAGUAGGGAAUCUUCCGCAAUGGGCGAAAGCCUGACGGAGCAACGCCGCGUGAGUGAAGAAGGUCUUCGGAUCGUAAAACUCUGUUAUUAGGGAAGAACAAAUGUGUAAGUAACUAUGCACGUCUUGACGGUACCUAAGCAGAAAGCCACGGCUAACUACGU